UGAAACAAAAAUGGCGUUUUCAAAGCAAGCAAUGACAAUGGACACAAAAUUAUUUUCCAGCAGUUUCUAUAGGGAAUGGAAAGGGUAAAAGUGCUAGAUUUUUAGAGAAGAAUUAUUCUAUUGUAUGUUAAAUCUUGAAAAGAUCUUAAGCUCGCGGACAUGUUAAAAACGGACCAAGAACUGAAAGUGGAAGGCCAAGGAAAAUGGACGACAGAACUUGCAGGACAUUGGACAGAAUUGUAGAUCUAAGGGGUGACUGAUCGUCUUCAUUGGUGGAUGUAGAAAUUCUAGUGUUACUGUGUAAUUGAGAUUAAUUUAGCCAUAUUGCCAUAAAGUGGACUAGAGAAAAGACGCCCAGCAAAGAAAAAAAAAAAACUCAGUUCAGAGUGACCAAAGAGUCUAAAGUAGAUCUAAAGAAAAAAGUUCAUUGGUUAACAGGCUGACUUGAAUAAGAUGCACACUUAGCAGAACAAAAUUGUUGCAAUGCUAUUUUCAAAGACUUAGCGCAGACGGAAAAGUUAAAUAAGAUCUACUGCCAACAGUACAAUGGAGAACUAAACAUGAAAGGCACGGUGUGUUGGAAAUAUUAGAUCCACAGUAUGUCCUCCAUCAUCUGUGGGCAGAACUAAAAAGUUCAGUUCAGUUGUGGGGAUGCAGUCAAUAAUUCUAAAGGAACACUAGCAUUUCUCGAUGGUAACUGUUAUAUCAUAUGAACAGUGCUAGCUCUAAAUACACUGAGGUAUCCUAAGUUAAUGACACCAUCUGGCAUAUUAUUGUGGAGCAUUGUUUAAAAAAAAACCUAGAAUAUCUGCCUGCUCCGAAGGAACUUGAAGACAAAACUCUCGGCCAUCAGUCUGAUCAAACAAGAACUUGAAAAUCAAAUAACAAUUAUUGAAUAUUCUAACCCCAACAUGGCUAGCUGAGUCAGCAGAUUUGAAGAUUUGAUUAUCAUUGAAAAUAUCAGACUGACUACAGUAUUGAUUAAAAUCUAUAUGAAAAGAAACAGGUCUCAAACCUGUAUUGAUUUGUGACUUGGAAAAAUGUGACAUUAAUGUACAUAAGGACCCUAAAUUCAACAAUUCCGCGAGGAAUGAGAACAGUUUUGAAAUCAAAAGCUCACGUCAGGAUUACAUCAAGAAUUUGAGGCUGAUGAUAUUGUAACUGGCCAACGGCCUCACCAAGAGUGUGUAACACCUUAAGUCACCUUCGGUAUUAGUGAUGCAGACAGCUUGAAAAGUCCUCAGCACAGCAGUUUCCGGAGGCAGUCAGAACACCAGGUCGAGUGGGUGUUUUGUUGGCUCUGUUUGUUGGGGUCGUAUACGGCGUGUCGGACUCCAGUCAUUGCACAAAAUAUACAGAUUACAAUGCCCUUGCUGACCUAACGAAGCAUGACGAUUGCAUGAGUAUACAGUCUG